AUUGAACGCUGGCGGCAGGCCUAACACAUGCAAGUCGAACGGUAACAGAAUGCAGCUUGCUGCUUUGCUGACGAGUGGCGGACGGGUGAGUAAUGUCUGGGAAACUGCCUGAUGGAGGGGGAUAACUACUGGAAACGGUAGCUAAUACCGCAUAACGUCGCAAGACCAAAGAGGGGGACCUUCGGGCCUCCUGCCAUCGGAUGUGCCCAGAUGGGAUUAGCUAGUAGGUGGGGUAACGGCUCACCUAGGCGACGGUCCCUAGCUGGUCUGAGAGGAUGACCAGCCACACUGGAACUGAGACACGGUCCAGACUCCUACGGGAGGCAGCAGUGGGGAAUAUUGCACAAUGGGCGCAAGCCUGAUGCAGCCAUGCCGCGUGUAUGAAGAAGGCCUUCGGGUUGUAAAGUACUUUCAGCGAGGAGGAAGGUGUUGUGGUUAAUAACCACAGCAAUUGACGUUACUCGCAGAAGAAGCACCGACUAACUCCGUGCCAGCCGCCGCAGUAA
rnacentral:rRNA from 1 species